CAGUGAGCCGCGUGUGUGACGAUGUCUUCGGAUUGGAAUGACUGUAUGUGGGUAGGAAGGGUGUAAUUAAUACCUUGUGGUGUUUCCAUUACCAACAGAAUAAGACCGGCUAACUUCGUGCCAGCAGCCGCGGUAAUACGAAGGGUGCAAGCGUUAAUCGGAAUUACUGGGCGUAAAGCGCGCGUAGGUGGUUCAGCAAGUUGGAUGUGAAAUCCCCGGGCUCAACCUGGGAACUGCAUCCAAAACUACUGAGCUAGAGUACGGUAAGGGUGGUGGAAUUUCCUGUGUAGCGGUGAAAUGCGUAGAUAUAGGAAGGAACACCAGUG
rnacentral:rRNA from 1 species